rnacentral:rRNA from 1 species
GAUGAACGCUAGCGGGAGGCCUAACACAUGCAAGCCGAGCGGUAGAGUUUCUUCGGAAACUUGAGAGCGGCGCACGGGUGCGUAACACGUGUGCAACCUACCUUUAUCUGGGGGAUAGCCUUUCGAAAGGAAGAUUAAUACCCCAUAAUAUAAUGAUUGGCAUCAAUUAUUAUUGAAAACUCCGGUGGAUAGGGAUGGGCACGCGCAAGAUUAGAUAGUUGGUGAGGUAACGGCUCACCAAGUCAAUGAUCUUUAGGGGUCCUGAGAGGGAGAUCCCCCACACUGGUACUGAGACACGGACCAGACUCCUACGGGAGGCAGCAGUGAGGAAUAUUGAACAAUGGGUGAGAGCCUGAUCCAGCCAUCCCGCGUGAAGGAUGACGGUCCUAUGGAUUGUAAACUUCUUUUGUACAGGGAUAAACCUACCCUCGUGAGGGUAGCUGAAGGUACUGUACGAAUAAGCACCGGCUAACUCCGUG